rnacentral:misc_RNA from 1 species
GAUGAAGAACGCAGCGAAAUGCGAUAAGUAAUGCGAAUUGCAGAAUUCGUGAGUCAUCGAAUCUUUGAACGCACAUUGCGCCCUUUGGUAUUCCGAAGGGCAUGCCUGUUCGAGCGUCAUUAUCACCCCUCAAGCCCCGGCUUGGUGUUGGGCUCUCGGUGGUCGUCUCCGACCACCCGUCUCAAAGAUAGUGACGGCGUCCCAGAGGGAACCGGUACGAGGAGCUUUCACGAGCAUGUACGCGGGACGACUCUGCGGGCGACGGUCUUAUUUACUUUAUAUACAAGUGUUGACCUCGGAUCAGGUAGGAAUACCCGCUGAACUUAAGCAUAUCAAUAAGCGGAGGA